CCUACGGGAGGCAGCAGUGGGGAAUAUUGGGCAAUGGGCGCAAGCCUGACCCAGCAACGCCGCGUGAAGGAAGAAGGCUUUCGGGUUGUAAACUUCUUUUAAGAGGGAAGAGCAGAAGACGGUACCUCUUGAAUAAGCCACGGCUAACUACGUGCCAGCAGCCGCGGUAAUACGUAGGUGGCAAGCGUUGUCCGGAUUUACUGGGUGUAAAGGGCGUGCAGCCGGGAAGACAAGUCAGAUGUGAAAACCAUGGGCUCAACCUGUGGCCUGCAUUUGAAACUGUUUUUCUUGAGUACUGGAGAGGC
rnacentral:rRNA from 1 species